CCUACGGGAGGCUGCAGUGAGGAAUAUUGGUCAAUGGGCGAGAGCCUGAACCAGCCAAGUCGCGUGAGGGAGUACUGCCCUAUGUGUUGUAAACCUCUUUUGUCGGGGAGCAAAAGCCGGGCGUGUCCGGCUGUAGGAGUACCCGAAGAAAAAGCAUCGGCUAACUUCGUGCCAGCAGCCGCGGUAAUACGUAGGGGGCAAGCGUUUUCCGGGUUUAAUGGGGGUAAAGGGAACGCAGGGGGGCUUGUAAGGUCGAUGUGAAAGCCCUCGGCUUAACCGGAGUAGUGCAUUGGAAACUGGGGGGCUGGAGUGCAGAAGAGGUGAGUGGAAUUCCAGGUGUAGGAGUGAAAUGCGUAGAUAUCUGGAGGAACAUCAGUGGCGAAGGCGACUAUCUGGCACAUCACUGACGCUGAGGAGCGAAAGCGUGGGUAGCAAACAGGAUUAGAUACCCUGGUAGUC
rnacentral:rRNA from 1 species